GAUGAACGCUAGCGGCAGGCUUAAUACAUGCAAGUCGUGGGGCAGCAGGGCUGUAGCGAUACAGUUGCUGGCGACCGGCAAACGGGUGCGUAACACGUACGCAACCUUCCCGUUACUGUGGCAUAGCCCAGGGAAACUUGGAUUAAUACCACAUAUUAUAUUGAUGAGGCAUCUCGUUGAUAUCAAAGCUUCGGUGGUAUAAAAUGAGCAUGCGGUUGAUUAGGUAGUUGGUAGGGUAACGGCCUACCAAGCCUACGAUCAAUAGGGGGUCUGAGAGGAUGUCCCCCCACACUGGUACUGAGACACGGACCAGACUCCUACGGGAGGCAGCAGUAGGGAAUAUUGGGCAAUGGACGAAAGUCUGACCCAGCCAUGCCGCGUGCAGGAUGACUGCCCUAUGGGUUGUAAACUGCUUUUGUCAGGGAAAAAACCUUCGAACGUGUUCGAAGCUGAUGGUACCUGAAGAAUAAGGAUCGGCUAACUCCGUGCCAGCCGCCGCAGUAAGAC
rnacentral:rRNA from 1 species